rnacentral:rRNA from 1 species
GUAGUCCACGCUGUAAACGAUGGGUACUAGAUGUUGGGGGAAUUGACCCCUCCAGUGUCGACGCUAACGCAUUAAGUACCCCGCCUGGGAAGUACGGCCGCAAGGUUAAAACUCAAAGGAAUUGACGGGGGCCCGCACAAGCGGUGGAGCAUGUGGUUUAAUUCGAUGCAACGCGAAGAACCUUACCUGGGUUUGACAUCCUCUGACAGCCGUAGAGAUACGGCCUCCCCUUCGGGGGCAGAGAGACAGGUGCUGCAUGGCUGUCGUCAGCUCGUAUCGUGAGAUGUCGGGUUAAGUCCCUUAACGAGCGCAACCCUUAUCCGUAGUUGCCAUCAUUUAGUUGGGCACUCUACGGAGACCGCCGGCGUUAAGCCGGA